UACGUAGGGUGCAAGCGUUAAUCGGAAUUACUGGGCGUAAAGCGUGCGCAGGCGGUUUUGUAAGUCAGAUGUGAAAUCCCCGGGCUUAACCUGGGAACUGCGUUUGAAACUACAAGGCUAGAGUGUGACAGAGGGGGGUGGAAUUCCACGUGUAGCAGUGAAAUGCGUAGAGAUGUGGAGGAACACCGAUGGCGAAGGCAGCCCCCUGGGUUAACACUGGACGCUCGAGGCACGAAAGCGUGGGGAGCAAACAGG
rnacentral:rRNA from 1 species